ACGUGGCUCAGUCGGUAGAGCGUCGCCUUGGUAAGGCGGAGGUCGCCGGUUCAAGUCCGGUCGUG
rnacentral:tRNA from 1 species